rnacentral:rRNA from 1 species
AGAGUUUGAUCCUGGCUCAGGAUGAACGCUAGCUACAGGCUUAACACAUGCAAGUCGAGGGGCAGCAUGAAGUUUGCUUGCAAACUUUGAUGGCGACCGGCGCACGGGUGAGUAACGCGUAUCCAACCUUCCCCUUACUAGGGAAUAGCCCGGCGAAAGUCGGAUUAAUGCCCUAUGUUCUCCUUUGCGGGCAUCUAACGAGGAGCAAAGAUUCAUCGGUAAGGGAUGGGGAUGCGUCUGAUUAGCCAGUUGGCGGGGUAACGGCCCACCAAGGCUACGAUCAGUAGGGGUUCUGAGAGGAAGGUCCCCCACAUUGGUACUGAGACACGGACCAAACUCCUACGGGAGGCAGCAGUGAGGAAUAUUGGUCAAUGGACGAGAGUCUGAACCAGCCAAGUAGCGUGCAGGACGACUGCCCUAUGGGUUGUAAACUGCUUUUAUGCGGGAAUAAAGUCAGGUACGUGUACCUGUUUGUAUGUACCGCAUGAAUAAGGACCGGCUAAUUCCGUGCCAGCAGCCGCGGUAAUACGGAAGGUCCGGGCGUUAUCCGGAUUUAUUGGGUUUAAAGGGAGCGCAGGCGGGUUAUUAAGCGUGUUGUGAAAUGCGGCGGCUCAACCGUCGAAUUGCAGCGCGAACUGGUUACCUUGAGUGAGUACGACGUCAGCGGAAUUCGUGGUGUAGCGGUGAAAUGCUUAGAUAUCACGAAGAACCCCGAUUGCGAAGGCAGCUGACGAGUCCUUAACUGACGCUAAUGCUCGAAAGUGCGGGUAUCGAACAGGAUUAGAUACCCUGGUAGUCCGCACGGUAAACGAUGGAUGCCCGCUGUUGGCGAUACAAUGUCAGCGGCCAAGCGAAAGCGUUAAGCAUCCCACCUGGGGAGUACGCCGGCAACGGUGAAACUCAAAGGAAUUGACGG